rnacentral:tRNA from 2 species
GGUCCCGUGACCGAGAGGCUAGGUAGUGGUCUGCAAAACCAUGUACAGCGGUUCGAAUCCGCUCGGGACCU